UAGUCCACGCCGUAAACGAUGAAUACUAGAUGUCGGGGUCCGACAGGACUUCGGUGCCGCAGCUAACGCAUUAAGUAUUCCACCUGGGGAGUACGAUCGCAAGAUUGAAACUCAAAGGAAUUGACGGGGGCCCGCACAAGCGGUGGAGCAUGUGGUUUAAUUCGAAGCAACGCGAAGAACCUUACCAAAUCUUGACAUCCCAUUGACCGUUCCGUAAUAGGAGCUUUCCUUUCGGGGACAAUGGAGACAGGUGGUGCAUGGUUGUCGUCAGCUCGUGUCGUGAGAUGUUGGGUUAAGUCCCGCAACGAGCGCAACCCUUAUCCUUAGUAGCCAGCAAGUAAUGUUGGGGACUCUAGGGAGACUGCCGGGGAUAACUCGGAGGAAGGUGGGGAUGACGUCAAAUCAUCAUGCCCCUUAUGAUUUGGGCUACACACGUGCUACAAUGGUGGUGACAGUGGGCAGCGAGAUCGCAAGAUCGAGCUAAUCUCCAAAAACCAUCUCAGUUCGGAUU
rnacentral:rRNA from 1 species